rnacentral:rRNA from 1 species
ACGGAAGGCAGCAGUGGGGAAUAUUGCACAAUGGGGGAAACCCUGAUGCAGCGACGCCGCGUGAGUGAAGAAGUUAUUCGUAAUGUAAAGCUCUAUCAGCAGGGAAGAUAAUGAUGGUACCUGACUAAGAAGCUCCGGCUAAAUACGUGCCAGCAGCCGCGGUAAUACGUAUGGAGCAAGCGUUAUCCGGAUUUACUGGGUGUAAAGGGUGUGUAGGCGGUAAGGUAAGUCAGAAGUGAAAUGCCGGGGCUCAACUCCGGAGCUGCUUUUGAAACUGCAUUACUUGAGUCCAGGAGAGGCAGGCGGAAUUCCUAGUGUAGCGGUGAAAUGCGUAGAUAUUAGGAAGAACACCAGUGGCGAAGGCGGCCUGCUGGACUGGUACUGACGCUGAGGCACGAAAGCGUGGGGAGCAAACAGGAUUAGAUACCCUGGUA